UACGAAGGGGGCUAGCGUUGCUCGGAAUCACUGGGCGUAAAGCGCACGUAGGCGGAUUGUUAAGUCAGGGGUGAAAUCCUGGAGCUCAACUCCAGAACUGCCUUUGAUACUGGCGAUCUUGAGUCCGGGAGAGGUGAGUGGAACUGCGAGUGUAGAGGUGAAAUUCGUAGAUAUUCGCAAGAACACCAGUGGCGAAGGCGGCUUACUGGCCCGGUACUGACGCUGAGGUGCGAAAGCGUGGGGAGCAAACAGG
rnacentral:rRNA from 1 species